rnacentral:rRNA from 1 species
UCGACGAAGCACUUUAUUUGAUUUCCUUCGGGACUGAUUAUUUUGUGACUGAGUGGCGGACGGGUGAGUAACGCGUGGGUAACCUGCCUUGUACAGGGGGAUAACAGUUGGAAACGGCUGCUAAUACCGCAUAAGCGCACAGCAUCGCAUGAUGCAGUGUGAAAAACUCCGGUGGUAUAAGAUGGACCCGCGUUGGAUUAGCUAGUUGGUGAGGUAACGGCCCACCAAGGCGACGAUCCAUAGCCGACCUGAGAGGGUGACCGGCCACAUUGGGACUGAGACACGGCCCAAACUCCUACGGGAGGCAGCAGUGGGGAAUAUUGCACAAUGGGCGAAAGCCUGAUGCAGCGACGCCGCGUGAGCGAAGAAGUAUUUCGGUAUGUAAAGCUCUAUCAGCAGGGAAGAUAAUGACGGUACCUGACUAAGAAGCACCGGCUAAAUACGUGCCAGCAGCCGCGGUAAUACGUAUGGUGCAAGCGUUAUCCGGAUUUACUGGGUGUAAAGGGAGCGCAGGCGGUGCGGCAAGUCUGAUGUGAAAGCCCGGGGCUCAACCCCGGUACUGCAUUGGAAACUGUCGUACUAGAGUGUCGGAGGGGUAAGCGGAAUUCCUAGUGUAGCGGUGAAAUGCGUAGAUAUUAGGAGGAACACCAGUGGCGAAGGCGGCUUACUGGACGAUAACUGACGCUGAGGCUCGAAAGCGUGGGGAGCAAACAGGAUUAGAUACCCUGGUAGUCCACGCCGUANACGAUGAAUACUAGGUGUUGGGAAGCAUUGCUUCUCGGUGCCGUCNCAAACGCAGUAAGUAUUCCACCUGGGGAGUACGUUCGCAAGAAUGAAACUCAAA